GAUUCUGGCUCAGGAUGAACGCUAGCUACAGGCUUAACACAUGCAAGUCGAGGGGCAGCAUGUUGGUUGCUUGCAACCAAUGAUGGCGACCGGCGCACGGGUGAGUAACGCGUAUCCAACCUUCCCUGUAGUAGAGAAUAGCCCGGCGAAAGUCGGAUUAAUACUCUAUGUUAUUCAAUGCGGACAUCUAAGUUGAAUCAAAGGUUUACCGCUAUAGGAUGGGGAUGCGUCUGAUUAGGUUGUUGGCGGGGUAACGGCCCACCAAGCCCUCGAUCAGUAGGGGUUCUGAGAGGAAGGUCCCCCACAUUGGAACUGAGACACGGUCCAAACUCCUACGGGAGGCAGCAGUGAGGAAUAUUGGUCAAUGGGCGAGAGCCUGAACCAGCCAAGUUAAGCGUGCAGGAUGACGGCCCUAUGGGUUGUAAACUGCUUUUAUACAGGGAUAAAGUCGGGGACGUGUCCCCGUUUGUAGGUACUGUAUGAAUAAGGACCGGCUAAUUCCGUGCCAGCCGCGGC
rnacentral:rRNA from 1 species